GCGUUGGACCGCACACAAGUCUGUUGGAAUACAGCGGCAUAGUGGUGAAACCCCCGUAUAUGGUGCGGACGCCCAGCGCUUUGUGAUACACUUUCAAUGAGUCGAGUUGUUUGGGAAUGCAGCUCAAAUUGGGUGGUAAAUUCCAUCUAAAGCUAAAUAUUGGCGAGAGACCGAUAGCGAACAAGUACCGUGAGGGAAAGAUGAAAAGCACUUUGGAAAGAGAGUUAACAGUACGUGAAAUUGUUGGAAGGGAAACGCUUGAAGUCAGACUUGCUUGCCGGAGCUUGCUUCGGUUUGCAGGCCAGCAUCAGUUUUCCGGGGUGGAUAAUGACGGUUUGAAGGUAGCAGUCUCGGCUGUGUUAUAGCUUUCCGUUGGAUACGCCCUGGGGGACUGAGGAACG
rnacentral:rRNA from 1 species